rnacentral:rRNA from 1 species
AGAGUUUGAUCCUGGCUCAGGAUGAACGCUGGCGGCGUGCCUAAUACAUGCAAGUCGAGCGAACGGACGAGAAGCUUGCUUCUCUGAUGUUAGCGGCGGACGGGUGAGUAACACGUGGAUAACCUACCUAUAAGACUGGGAUAACUUCGGGAAACCGGAGCUAAUACCGGAUAAUAUUUUGAACCGCAUGGUUCAAAAGUAAAAGACGGUCUUGCUGUCACUUAUAGAUGGAUCCGCGCUGCAUUAGCUAGUUGGUAAGGUAACGGCUUACCAAGGCAACGAUGCAUAGCUGACCUGAGAGGGUGAUCGGCCACACUGGAACUGAGACACGGUCCAGACUCCUACGGGAGGCAGCAGUAGGGAAUCUUCCGCAAUGGGCGAAAGCCUGACGGAGCAACGCCGCGUGAGUGAUGAAGGUCUUCGGAUCGUAAAACUCUGUUAUUAGGGAAGAACAUAUGUGUAAGUAACUGUGCACAUCUUGACGGUACCUAAUCAGAAAGCCACGGCUAACUACGUGCCAGCAGCCGCGGUAAUACGUAGGUGGCAAGCGUUAUCCGGAAUUAUUGGGCGUAAAGCGCGCGUAGGCGGUUUUUUAAGUCUGAUGUGAAAGCCCACGGCUCAACCGUGGAGGGUCAUUGGAAACUGGAAAACUUGAGUGCAGAAGAGGAAAGUGGAAUUCCAUGUGUAGCGGUGAAAUGCGCAGAGAUAUGGAGGAACACCAGUGGCGAAGGCGACUUUCUGGUCUGUAACUGACGCUGAUGUGCGAAAGCGUGGGGAUCAAACAGGAUUAGAUACCCUGGUAGUCCACGCCGUAAACGAUGAGUGCUAAGUGUUAGGGGGUUUCCGCCCCUUAGUGCUGCAGCUAACGCAUUAAGCACUCCGCCUGGGGAGUACGACCGCAAGGUUGAAACUCAAAGGAAUUGACGGGGACCCGCACAAGCGGUGGAGCAUGUGGUUUAAUUCGAAGCAACGCGAAGAACCUUACCAAAUCUUGACAUCCUUUGACAACUCUAGAGAUAGAGCCUUCCCCUUCGGGGGACAAAGUGACAGGUGGUGCAUGGUUGUCGUCAGCUCGUGUCGUGAGAUGUUGGGUUAAGUCCCGCAACGAGCGCAACCCUUAAGCUUAGUUGCCAUCAUUAAGUUGGGCACUCUAAGUUGACUGCCGGUGACAAACCGGAGGAAGGUGGGGAUGACGUCAAAUCAUCAUGCCCCUUAUGAUUUGGGCUACACACGUGCUACAAUGGACAAUACAAAGGGCAGCGAAACCGCGAGGUCAAGCAAAUCCCAUAAAGUUGUUCUCAGUUCGGAUUGUAGUCUGCAACUCGACUACAUGAAGCUGGAAUCGCUAGUAAUCGUAGAUCAGCAUGCUACGGUGAAUACGUUCCCGGGUCUUGUACACACCGCCCGUCACACCACGAGAGUUUGUAACACCCGAAGCCGGUGGAGUAACCUUUUAGGAGCUAGCCGUCGAAGGUGGGACAAAUGAUUGGGGUGAAGUCGUAACAAGGUAGCCGUAUCGGAAGGUGCGGCUGGAUCACCU